UACGGAGGGGGCAAGCGUUGUUCGGAAUUACUGGGCGUAAAGGGCGCGCAGGCGGCUGCUCAAGUCAGGCGUGAAAAGCCUGGGCUCAACCCGGGAAUUGCGCUUGAGACUGGGCUGGCUUGAGUGCGGGAGAGGAUGGUGGAAUUCCUGGUGUAGCGGUGAAAUGCGCAGAUAUCAGGAAGAACACCCGUGGCGAAAGCGGCUCUCUGGAACGGUACUGACGCUGAGACGCGAAAGCGUGGGGAGCGAACAGG
rnacentral:rRNA from 1 species